AAAAAAAAAAAAGAAUGUCGUGGAGCAUUUCUCAUCUUAAUCCUUGGUUUCUCAGUUAAGCCGCCUUCUAGAUCCCAUGUGCAAGUGUAUGGAUAAGAUCGCAAGCCCUCAGAUUUUUGCGGUGCUGACGUAAGCAUGGUGACGCCACGGCCUAAUCCCUAAAUGAUUGAACGAAUCACAUCACAUUGUCCAAAUAACCAGUUUAAAACUGUUUUUUUAUUUUUUAUACAUGGAUUAAGUUACCCUAAUUUCAAGUAAUUAGCUUGAUCAAAACUUUAGUUGUACACCAUACUAAGUGAGUAUCGUAUUUACCAUGUACAAUGGUUUAUCAAAAUUUCUUACUUGCAAAUUUAAAAAGAAAAAAAAAUACCGUUAAAUCGUAGUAAAAUUUUGAUGGGACAGAUGAGUAAUACACAGUAAGACUGGGGGUGCCGACUUCAUAAUAUUUAACCAAAAUGAUCACAACAGGACAAGAAAUGGAUAAAUAAUGUUGGCAUUAUAAACAGCUGGCGCCGGGGCAAUGUGCGGUUUUGUGGCAUAAAUAAUUAGAGUGGGAUAAAUAGCACCUUACAAAAAUUCUUGUGCUGUGUUUGUCGGUUCAUCUCCCACUGGGACUGGCUAAUUUAGUCCAAGGCCAAGCAGAAAGAGUGAAGAUGAGCGAUCCCAACGUCGGAGGUAGACCCGGCCAGGCCCCGGCAAACGGCGGUGGGGGUAGAGCACCAGUGCCACCUAGAGGAUCCAUAAUCAAGAAGAUUGUGGCUGACUUGGUUAGUCGCCCGUAACCAUUUGAUCUACAUACUCGUCGCCAUAAAGUUAAGUACGAUGUGUGCCGAUAUGUUUGUAUGUAUAUUUUUAUGAAGCCUAACUAGUUGUGAAAUAACAACGGGAAAUCCCCCAUUUGGUGUUGGGGGGGGGGGGGGGGGGGGAAGUGUAAUUGGGGUUGGAAGUUGUAUGGAUCUAUUUGCCAAAUCUUGUUUGGUGUUAAUGUUAGUAUUGUUGAUGAUGAGUUGUUUCUUAUGGGAAUUCUGACUCCAUCAUCAAUUGCAACCUGCAAAUGGAGUUUGUUCUUUUGGUAAAUUAAGUCGGUUAAUUGCUUGCUAAUGACAAUUUUCUUGACUGUGUUCAAUUAUUUGCGAAUUUUAUUCAAUUGUAAAUUUGGUUCAAUUAUUUGCGAAUUUUAUUCAAUUGUAAAUUUGAAUCGUUGAUUAUUAGGUGACGAUGGUGUGAUUUACGAGAAAUUGAAUAAAAUUUUCAAACUCGAGCUGUUUGGCUUGGAAUUGUAUUGCGUCAAAUACGACCUGAAGAAACUCCAACGAGCCAAAUACGACCUGAAGAAAAUAUAACUUGGAAUUGUAUUGAAAUUAUUAAAAUUAUAUAUUACAAUAUUUCAUAUUAUAAUAUAUAACCCUAAUUGAAGUAACAAUGAAGAAAUAGAGGAGCUGCCUACAUAGUGGGCCUCGAAUGUACCUAAAAGUACAAAUAGGCUUGGGUAAAGCUUAAACCGGGUUUAAGUGGGCCGCCCAAUUCGACG
rnacentral:lncRNA from 1 species